GAGUUUGAUCCUGGCUCAGAACGAACGUUGGCGGCGUGCUUAACACAUGCAAGUCGAACGAGAACGGUUUCUUCGGAGACCUAGUAAAGUGGCGCACGGGUGAGUAACACGUAGAUAACCUGUCCAGGUGUUCGGGAUAGCCCUUCGAAAGGGGGGAUUAAUACCGGAUACGUUAGUCUGUUAUAAGGCAGAUUAAGAAAGGUGGCCUCUAUUUAUAAGCUAUCGCAUUUGGAGGGUCUGCGUACCAUUAGUUUGUUGGUGGGGUAAAGGCCUACCAAGACUUCGAUGGUUAGCGGGUCUGAGAGGAUGAUCCGUCACACUGGCACUGAAACACGGGCCAG
rnacentral:rRNA from 1 species